rnacentral:rRNA from 1 species
AUUGAACGCUGGCGGCAGGCCUAACACAUGCAAGUCGAGCGGAUGAAGUGAGCUCGCUCCUGGAUUCAGCGGCUGACGGGUGAGUAAUGCCUAGGAAUCUGCCUGGUAGUGGGGGAUAACGUCCGGAAACGGGCGCUAAUACCGCAUACGUCCUGAGGGAGAAUGUGGGGGAUCUUCGGACCUCACGCUAUCAGCUUAGCCUAGGUCGGAUUAGCUAGUUGGUGGGGUAAAGGCCUACCAAGGCGACGAUCCGUAACUGGUCUGAGAGGAUGAUCAGUCACACUGGAACUGAGACACGGUCCAGACUCCUACGGGAGGCAGCAGUGGGGAAUAUUGGACAAUGGGCGAAAGCCUGAUCCAGCCAUGCCGCGUGUGUGAAGAAGGUCUUCGGAUUGUAAAGCACUUUAAGUUGGGAGGAAGGGCAGUAAGUUAAUACCUUGCUGUUUUGACGUUACCAACAGAAUAAGCACCGGCUAACUUCGUG